rnacentral:tRNA from 1 species
GGGGAUUUAGCUCAGUGGCAUAAGCACCUGCCUUACAAGCAGGAGGUCGUGAGUUCGAUCCCUG